rnacentral:rRNA from 1 species
UACGAAGGGUGCAAGCGUUACUCGGAAUUACUGGGCGUAAAGCGUGCGUAGGUGGUGAGUUAAGUCUGUCGUGAAAGCCCCGGGCUCAACCUGGGAAUGGCGAUGGAUACUGGCUCGCUAGAGUGCGGUAGAGGAGAGUGGAAUUCCCGGUGUAGCAGUGAAAUGCGUAGAGAUCGGGAGGAACAUCAGAUGCGAAGGCGGCUCUCUGGACCAGAACUGACACUGAGGCACGAAAGCGUGGGGAGCAAACAGG